rnacentral:rRNA from 1 species
AUUGAACGCUGGCGGCAGGCCUAACACAUGCAAGUCGAACGAGUGGCGGACGGGUGAGUAAUGUCUGGGCAACUGCCCGAUGGAGGGGGAUAACUUCGGUAAACGGUAGCUAAUACCGCAUACCAUCAGAUGUGCCCAGAUGGGAUUAGCUAGUGGGUGGGGUAACGGCUCACCUAGGCGAAGAUCCCUAGCUGGUCUGAGAGGAUGACCAGCCACACUGGAACUGAGACACGGUCCAGACUCCUACGGGAGGCAGCAGUGGGGAAUAUUGCACAAUGGGCGCAAGCCUGAUGCAGCCAUGCCGCGUGUAUGAAGAAGGCCUUCGGGUUGUAAAGUACUUUCAGCGAGGAGGCGUUACUCGCAGAAGAAGCACCGGCUAACUCCGUGCCAGCAGCCGCGGUAAUUC